rnacentral:lncRNA from 1 species
UUUAAUCAAAUUUCAUGGGUUUAACAACAACACUUUUAUCAUUCCCACAAUUCAAUCAAAUUUCAUGGGUUUAACAAUAAUAUUUCAAUUAUUCAAACAAUUCAAUCAGAUUUCAUGGGUUUACCAACAACAUUUUCAUCAUUCACACAAUUCAAUCAAAUUUCAUGGGUUUAAAAUAAGAUUUACAUCUUUCCCACAAUUCAAUCAACUUUCAUGGGGUUAACACCAAUAUUUUUAUGAUUAACAAUAUUCAAUCAAAUUUCAUGGGUUUAACAAUAACGUUUUCAUCAUUUCCAUAAUUUAAUCAAAUUUCAUGUGUUUAAAAAUAAUAUUUUAAUUAUUCACACAAUUUAGUCAAAUUUCAUGGGUUUUAAAACAACAUUUUCAUCAUUCACACUAUUUAAUCAAAUUUCAUGGGUUUAACAA